rnacentral:rRNA from 1 species
AUUGAACGCUGGCGGCAGGCCUAACACAUGCAAGUCGAGCGGAUGAAGGGAGCUUGCUCCUGGAUUCAGCGGCGGACGGGUGAGUAAUGCCUAGGAAUCUGCCUGGUAGUGGGGUAUAACGUCCGGAAACGGGCGCUAAUACCGCAUACGUCCUGAGGGAGAAAGUGGGGGAUCUUCGGACCUCACGCUCUCAGAUGAGCCUAGGUCGGAUUAGCUAGUUGGUGGGGUAAAGGCCUACCAAGGCGACGAUCCGUAACUGGUCUGAGAGGAUGAUCAGUCACACUGGAACUGAGACACGGUCCAGACUCCUACGGGAGGCAGCAGUGGGGAAUAUUGGACAAUGGGCGAAAGCCUGAUCCAGCCAUGCCGCGUGUGUGAAGAAGGUCUUCGGAUUGUAAAGCACUUUAAGUUGGGAGGAAGGGCAGUAAGUUAAUACCUUGCUGUUUUGACGUUACCAACAGAAUAAGCACCGGCUAACUUCGUG